rnacentral:rRNA from 1 species
UCUUCGGAGGCAGUGGCGGACGGGUGAGUAACGCGUGGGAAUAUGCCCUUUGGUACGGAACAACUGAGGGAAACUUCAGCUAAUACCGUAUGUGCCCUUCGGGGGAAAGAUUUAUCGCCAUUGGAGUAGCCCGCGUUGGAUUAGGUAGUUGGUGGGGUAAAGGCCUACCAAGCCCACGAUCCAUAGCUGGUCUGAGAGGAUGAUCAGCCACAUUGGGACUGAGACACGGCCCAAACUCCUACGGGAGGCAGCAGUAGGGAAUCUUGCGCAAUGGGCGAAAGCCUGACGCAGCCAUGCCGCGUGAAUGAUGAAGGUCUUAGGAUUGUAAAAUUCUUUCACCGGGGAAGAUAAUGACGGUACCCGGAGAAGAAGCCCCGGCUAACUUCGUGCCAGCAGCCGCGGUAAUACGAAGGGGGCUAGCGUUGCUCGGAAUUACUGGGCGUAAAGGGCGCGUAGGCGGAUAGUUUAGUCAGAGGUGAAAGCCCAGGGCUCAACCUUGGAACUGCCUUUGAUACUGGCUAUCUUGAGUUCGGGAGAGGUGAGUGGAAUGCCGAGUGUAGAGGUGAAAUUCGUAGAUAUUCGGCGGAACACCAGUGGCGAAGGCGACUCACUGGCCCGAUACUGACGCUGAGGCGC